GUGGACGCAUCACUGGUGUUCGGGUUGUCAUGCCAAUGGCACUGCCCGGUAGCUAAAUGCGGAAGAGAUAAGUGCUGAAAGCAUCUAAGCACGAAACUUGCCCCGAGAUGAGUUCUCCCUGACCCUUUAAGGGUCCUGAAGGAACGUUGAAGACGACGACGUUGAUAGGCCGGGUGUGUAAGCGCAGCGAUGCGUUGAGCUAACCGGUACUAAUGAACCGUGAGGCUUAACCUUACAACGCCGAAGCUGUU
rnacentral:rRNA from 1 species